AAGAAGAUGAAGAGGCGUAGGCGGCAACGGAGGGAGACGACGGAGGAUACCCAGGUGGCGGUGGUGGCGGAGGGAGCGGUGGCGCGGCGUGAUUUUGGAAAUCUGUUGAGGGUUGGGGAUUUGCAGAGAAAGGGUCUUUUAUAAGGGACUGUUGAGGUUUGGGUUUGAAGGUUUUGGAGUUAGGUUCGGGAUAGGGUGGUGGUGGUGGUUAAGGUUAGGGUGGUGGCNGAGAG
rnacentral:lncRNA from 1 species